rnacentral:rRNA from 1 species
UACAGAGGGUGCAAGCGUUAAUCGGAAUUACUGGGCGUAAAGGGCGCGUAGGCGGCCUGCUAAGUCGGACGUGAAAUCCCUCGGCUCAACCGAGGAACUGCGUCCGAUACUGGUGGGCUUGAAUCCGGGAGAGGGAUGCGGAAUUCCAGGUGUAGCGGUGAAAUGCGUAGAUAUCUGGAGGAACACCGGUGGCGAAGGCGGCAUCCUGGACCGGCAUUGACGCUGAGGCGCGAAAGCCAGGGGAGCAAACGGG